GCAGCAGUCGUGCCCAGCGCCCGCCGCGUCUAGCCGCCUCCACUUACAAUCGAUAUUCGCGAACACGCUUUUAUUAACACGUAAACAUUUGACGACUGUUUAAAAGUUUUACAGCGUACCUACAUGAUUGAAAUACAUCAUGUCUUCCACAUUGUGACAGCAUAAAAUUUAAAUGGCUCGAGCGGCUGACGCUCUUUUUAACUUUCAAACUAAUAUUUGAAUUUCGCAUAAGUUUUAGAACAUUAAUGACGUACGCAUCCCCAGACAAUGGCGGGCUUGUGUUUAAUUUUGAAUUAGAAUUUUUAUAUUAGCUUGAAUACAUAAUUAUCUUAUUUAAUAUUCACGUUUAAAUAAGUUUAAAAUAAUAAUUAAAUCACACGAAAAAAAAAUCUGAAUUUUCAAAAUUACUCCUCAAAAUGACGUAUUUUCAAGACAAAUUUGAUUGAUCCAGUCCCAUGAUUCGAAUUCCCGCGGUUAGCGCGCGCGCCUGAAGGUCGGCGCUUGCGUCGUCUUUGGCACUGCGCGGGCGCGUGCAGUCGAUGUGAGCGGGCACUGGGGACAUGACCGUGUUAUGGAUUACCAAUGCGUCGUCGUGUACACGGUCAUCAACAUCGCACCGCCGAAACUCGCGUCCCAAGCGGCGGACUUUUCGAAUGGUUGCGUCGACUGGAUUAAGAAUAAAAUUAAAAGAGCGGUAGCAGUAUAUCUCCAAUCGCUGAAGCUUACUCCAAACAAUGGGAUUAUACACGGGAAUUUGGCAUGUUUGUAUUACAAACAAGGUUUCAUAGACUUAGCCAUAGACACAUACAGGCGAGCUAUUGAAUUACAUCCCAAUUUCCCUGACGCUUACUGCAAUCUUGCCAACGCCCUCAAAGAGAAAGGCCUCGUUAAUGAAGCGGAAGAAUGCUACAGCAAAGCAUUAUAUUUGUGCCCUUCGCAUGUCGAUUCACUUAAUAACCUCGGAAACGUUAAAAGAGAACUGGGGAAAAUUGAAGAAGCCACUGAGCUGUACAUGAAAGCUUUGGAGGUCUUCCCUAAUUUUGCUGUCACUCACAGCAACUUAGCAUCUUUAUUGCAACAACAAGGAAAAUACCAUGAAGCGCUUAUGCAUUAUGAACAAGCAAUUAACAUUCAACCAAAGUUCGCGGAUGCCUACAGCAAUAUGGGGAACACAUUAAGGGAGUUACAAGAUAUAUCGGGGGCUUUAAAAUGUUUUAAAAAAGCGAUUGAAAUAAAUCCCUCAUUUGCCGACGCCCAUUGCAAUCUAGCUAGCAUUUACAAAGAUACGGGUAAUAUUACUGAAGCGAUUGAAGCAUAUAAAAAGGCUCUUUCAUUAAGAGAUGAUUUUCCGGACGCUUAUUGUAAUUUAACACAUUGUUUGCAAAUUGUCUGUGAUUGGGAUGAUUACGAGGAACGUAUGAGUAAAAUUGUUUCUAUAGUCGAAGGUCAAUUAAAUAGUGAAAAAUUGUCAUCAGUCCAUCCUCAUCAUUCCAUUUUAUAUCCUUUAACUAAUAAGUGUAGAAGAGAAAUUGCAGCAAAACAUGCAUCAUUAUAUUUAGAAAAAGUUAAAGGAAUAAACAUAGAACACAAUACAAAUAGUAACGAGAGAAAAGGUCGAUUACGUAUUGGUUAUGUUAGUAGUGAUUUCGGAAAUCAUCCGACUUCGCAUUUGAUGCAAUCAGUACCCGGACUUCACGACCUAUCAAAAGUUGAAAUUUUUUGUUAUGCAUUAAAUGCAAACGAUGGCUCAACAUUCCGUAGUAAAGUAGUCAGAGAAUCUGAACAUUUUGUUGAUCUUUCUGAAGUAACCUGUAACACAGACGCUGUAAAUAGAAUAGUUAGUGAUGGUAUUAAUAUAUUGGUAAAUAUGAAUGGUUACACAAAAGGGUCCAGAAAUGAAAUAUUUGCUUUAAAACCAGCGCCUAUCCAAGUGAUGUGGCUUGGUUAUCCUGGUACGAGUGGUGCUACAUAUAUGGAUUAUAUAAUAUGUGAUAGAAUUUCGUGCCCGAUGCAAGCGGAGCGUGAUUUUAGUGAAAAGUUUGCUUACAUGCCGUUUACGUACUUUGUUGGGGAUCACAUGCAAAUGUUUCCUCAUUUACAAAAACGGUAUAGAUUAAGAAUUGAAAAUGAUGCACUGAGUGAAAAUGUAGCACUAUUAAAUUAUUUUGAGGAUUUAGAAAAAUAUUUCAGUAUUGAAACAAAUACAUUGAUAUUACAUUAUGAUGAUUUAAACCCAAUAGAAGUAUUAGAACAAGUCAUAAACAUUCCUAAAUAUGUGAUUGAAGAAACGAAGGAUUCAACCAAAAGACAAGUUUAUGUUGGUGAUAUACCGAUACAAAAUGGUCUUAGCAUAAUAUCUUGUGAUGAAAGAGUAGCGAAUGGAGAAGAAAUUUGUACAAAUAUCGUGAUAACAUCAAGAUCUCAGUAUGGUUUACCAGAUGAUGCAAUUGUUUAUUGCAAUUUUAAUCAGCUGUAUAAAGCAGAUCCAAAUGUAUUAAAAUCAUGGGUGAAUAUUUUAAAGAAAGUCCCGAAUAGUGUUCUUUGGCUAGUGAGCUUUCCGUUAGCAGGAGAACCUAAUAUACAUAAAUAUUCUCAGAACUUAGGUUUAGAACCUGGUCGAAUUAUAUUUUCAAAAAUUGCUAGUAAGGAGGAACAUGUCCGCCGAGGCCAAUUGGCCGACGUAUGUUUAGACACACCUCUAUGUAAUGGUCACACAACAACUAUGGAUAUAUUAUGGGCGGGCACUCCUGUUGUAACUCUCCCGGGGGACACUUUAGCGUCCAGAGUGGCCGCAUCUCAACUGAUAUCAUUGAAUUGUCCCGAACUAAUUGCUAGCGAUAGAAGCCAUUACGAGGAAAUUGCUGUUAAAAUAGGAUUAGACGCACAAUAUCGAAAAUACAUUCGAGCCAAAGUUUACAACGCACGAAUAGAGAGUCCUCUGUUCAACUGUAAAUAUUACACCGAAGGUUUAGAAGCACUUUACACUAGGAUGUGGGACCUUUAUGAAAAUGGUUAUAGCCCGGAUCAUAUAUCUGUGGUUAUGGAUUAAAUCUGGGUUUUUACCUAGUUUUUAUGGCGUUUACAGCAAAAAGUUUAGAAGUGACGUAGUGUUCGUCCACGUGGGUUAAAAUGAUAGUGAAAGUCACGAGACGCAUGUUUGCUAACCGCAGCCGUUAGAUGGCGCUUAGUCAGUUUAGAAUCCGAGUGACACGUCCGUCCGGAAGGAAGUCAAAAGGAAUUCUGGAUCAAUUAGAAGUAUUACACCAAUUUUAAAUGUAUAUAUGUCUUUAUGUGUGAAUUAAAUUCUUUGUGUGUU